rnacentral:rRNA from 1 species
CCUACGGGGGGCAGCAGUGGGGAAUAUUGGACAAUGGGGGCAACCCUGAUCCAGCCAUGCCGCGUGUGUGAAGAAGGCCCUCGGGUUGUAAAGCACUUUCAGUGAGGAAGAACGCCUGGUGGUUAAUACCCAUCAGGAAAGACAUCACUCACAGAAGAAGCACCGGCUAACUCCGUGCCAGCAGCCGCGGUAAUACGGAGGGUGCGAGCGUUAAUCGGAAUUACUGGGCGUAAAGCGCGCGUAGGUGGCUUGAUAAGCCGGUUGUGAAAGCCCCGGGCUCAACCUGGGAACGGCAUCCGGAACUGUCAAGCUAGAGCGCAGGAGAGGAAGGUAGAAUUCCCGGUGUAGCGGUGAAAUGCGUAGAGAUCGGGAGGAAUACCAGUGGCGAAGGCGGCCUUCUGGACUGACACUGACACUGAGGUGCGAAAGCGUGGGUAGCAAACAGGAUUAGAUACCCGUGUAGUC